CUACGGGUCGCUGCAGUGAGGAAUAUUGCACAAUGGGGGGAACCCUGAUGCAGCAACGCCGCGUGGAGGAUGACGCAUUUCGGUGUGUAAACUCCUUUUAUAUGUCAAGAAAAUGACGGUAGCAUAUGAAUAAGCACCGGCUAACUCCGUGCCAGCAGCCGCGGUAAUACGGAGGGUGCAAGCGUUACUCGGAAUCACUGGUCGUAAAGGACGCGUAGGCGGGUUGGAAAGCCAGUGUGAAAUCCUACAGCUUAACUGUAGAACUGCACUUGAAACUUCUAAUCUAGAGUAUGGGAGGGGGAGAUGGAAUUAGUGGUGUAGGGGUAAAAUCCGUAGAUAUCACUAGGAAUACCAAAAGCGAAGGCGAUCUCCUGGAACAUUACUGACGCUAAGGCGUGAAAGCGUGGGGAGCAAACAGGAUUAGAUACCCUCGUAGUC
rnacentral:rRNA from 1 species